CCCUCAACACCCUGGGGUGGAGAGCAUCUUGACCUGCUGAUGUCACAUUUAGUAUUAUUAACAACAAAGGUACAAAUGAUUAUGGAACACAUUGAAGUAAAAUAAAACAUUUCAACUCAAAUUUGAAAUCAAGUCUGUGAGAUGGCGCACCCUGGAUAUUCUUAAUUUAGGUAUUCUUCCGUAUCACUGUCUUCAGAUGGCUCUAGAACAGUAGUUUUAAUUGACUCAUCUGAAUGUCCAUUUUCAUUGUUUAGAGGCAGUUUCACUCCAUCUGGCAGUCCACUUUUAGUAUGUCACAGGUUCCAACACAUCCAGCACUGAUGUGCAUCCAAUAUUUUGUUUGAAGGAUUGCAGA